rnacentral:rRNA from 1 species
UGCAAGUCGAACGGUGAACUUGGGAGCUUGCUCCCGGGGGAUCAGUGGCGAACGGGUGAGUAACACGUGAGUAACCUGCCCCAGACUCUGGGAUAAGCGUUGGAAACGACGUCUAAUACCGGAUACGAGCUUCAGCCGCAUGGCUAGGAGCUGGAAAGAAUUUCGGUCUGGGAUGGACUCGCGGCCUAUCAGCUAGUUGGUGAGGUAAUGGCCCACCAAGGCGACGACGGGUAGCCGGCCUGAGAGGGUGACCGGCCACACUGGGACUGAGACACGGCCCAGACUCCUACGGGAGGCAGCAGUGGGGAAUAUUGCACAAUGGGCGCAAGCCUGAUGCAGCAACGCCGCGUGAGGGACGACGGCCUUCGGGUUGUAAACCUCUUUUAGUAGGGAAGAAGCGAAAGUGACGGUACCUGCAGAAAAAGCACCGGCUAACUACGUGCCAGCAGCCGCGGUAAUACGUAGGGUGCAAGCGUUAUCCGGAAUUAUUGGGCGUAAAGAGCUCGUAGGCGGUUUGUCGCGUCUGCUGUGAAAACCCGAGGCUCAACCUCGGGCCUGCAGUGGGUACGGGCAGACUAGAGUGCGGUAGGGGAGAUUGGAAUUCCUGGUGUAGCGGUGGAAUGCGCAGAUAUCAGGAGGAACACCGAUGGCGAAGGCAGAUCUCUGGGCCGUAACUGACGCUGAGGAGCGAAAGCAUGGGGAGCGAACAGGAUUAGAUACCCUGGUAGUCCAUGCCGUAAACGUUGGGAACUAGAUGUAGGGACCAUUCCACGG